rnacentral:rRNA from 1 species
CAACCGGGAUUGCCUUAGUAACGGCGAGUGAAGCGGCAAAAGCUCAAAUUUGAAAUCUGGUACCUUCGGUGCCCGAGUUGUAAUUUGGAGAGGGCAACUUUGGGGCCGUUCCUUGUCUAUGUUCCUUGGAACAGGACGUCAUAGAGGGUGAGAAUCCCGUGUGGCGAGGAGUGCGGUUCUUUGUAAAGUGCCUUCGAAGAGUCGAGUUGUUUGGGAAUGCAGCUCUAAGUGGGUGGUAAAUUCCAUCUAAAGCUAAAUAUUGGCGAGAGACCGAUAGCGAACAAGUACAGUGAUGGAAAGAUGAAAAGAACUUUGAAAAGAGAGUGAAAAAGUACGUGAAAUUGUUGAAAGGGAAGGGCAUUUGAUCAGACAUGGUGUUUUGUGCCCUCUGCUCCUUGUGGGUAGGGGAAUCUCGCAUUUCACUGGGCCAGCAUCAGUUUUGGUGGCAGGAUAAAUCCAUAGGAAUGUAGCUUGCCUCGGUAAGUAUUAUAGCCUGUGGGAAUACUGCCAGCUGGGACUGAGGACUGCGACGUAAGUCAAGGAUGCUGGCAUAAUGGUUAUAUGCCGCCCGUCUUGAAACACGGACCUCCUGUGUGAA